CAGGAUGGACCCCUGAACUAGUGUUGAUCUACAUGACAGUCCAUAAAUGUGAGUGAGCUGCAUCAUUCUUCCAUGAAGCUUUCCUCUCCUCCCACUCAUAACAGUAAAGGCAAAAUGAACAAUGCGAAAGGUUUCAGUCUGCUCCUAAAAUUCCUUUUUCUUUCACAAUUAACUUCUUGGUCAGUUAUCAUUUGCAAAAUAUCAAAAGUUGAUAAUACAAGGAAUUCUAAGUGGACUUGCUCAUGUGUGGUGGAUCUAGGUUGGUCGUAGCUCGCCUGCCAACUUACAGUAUAUGUUAUAGACCCGGGCAUUCAUCUGCUGAUGAUAGGCAAAAACUAUGACAUGAUGUUUGUGAGCUACAUCAGGCAUCCAUCUCUCUGUUCUAAUAUUAAAGGAAUGGGCCAAAAGAGGGAAGCAAUGAUUGACUGUGGACAGCCAGCGUCCCCACGAUGGAAAAUGACCAUAUAAAGAUCUUUCUACAUUGAAGAAAACUCUCUUGAGUUGCAUUGGUGUUGAUAUAUCAUCAUGCAGGAACUGGACACAUAGAAUUCCUAAGAUAAGAAGCAACAAUAGCUGGUGAAUGCCAACACUAAGGAUAGAAGCAUCUAUGAACAAGAAUGACGAAAUUCUGAAAAUAAGAUCUAGAUUGUGCUUUGUUAACCAUCAGGAGUAUACAUGUGUUGGAUUUGCGAAAUCGGUUACAGCUUUUGCAAGAAAUGGUCACAGAUGAGAAGUAUAGAUUGAGCUGUUGAACCAUCUCAGGAAAUGUCAAUAGUGCAGCCCAAUUCAGAGUAAUGGGUGAAUCUCUGAUGAAAUCUCUUCAUUCACAUCGAGAACACUAGGUAAU